GCCCGCCUAGCUCAAUCGGAUAGAGCAUUCGACUCUUAUGCUGAUGUAAUUGUUGUGGCGCGUGCGGAUCGAAAGGCUGCGAGUUCGACCCUCGCGGUGGGCU